rnacentral:rRNA from 1 species
GACGAACGCUGGCGGCGUGCUUAACACAUGCAAGUCGAACGCUGAAGCUCAGCUUUUGUUGGGUGGAUGAGUGGCGAACGGGUGAGUAACACGUGAGUAACCUGCCCCCUUCUUUGGGAUAACGCCCGGAAACGGGUGCUAAUACUGGAUAUUCACUGGUCUUCGCAUGGGGGUUGGUGGUAAGGGUUUUUCUGGUGGGGGAUGGGCUCGCGGCCUAUCAGCUUGUUGGUGGGGUGAUGGCCUACCAAGGCUUUGACGGGUAGCCGGCCUGAGAGGGUGACCGGUCACAUUGGGACUGAGAUACGGCCCAGACUCCGACGGGAGGCAGCAGUGGGGAAUAUUGCACAAUGGGCGCAAGCCUGAUGCAGCGACGCCGCGUGAGGGAUGGAGGCCUUCGGGUUGUGAACCUCUUUCGCUCAUGGUCAAGCCGCAACAAUGGUUGUGGUGAGGGUAGUGGGUAAAGAAGCGCCGGCUAACUACGUG